rnacentral:rRNA from 1 species
AAUUGGAAUGAGUACACCUUAAAUCGUUUAACGAGUAUCAAUUGGAGGGCAAGUCUGGUGCCAGCAGCCGCGGUAAUUCCAGCUCCAAUAGCGUAUAUUAAAGUUGCUGCAGUUAAAAGGCUCGUAGUUGGAUCUGGGGCUUGAGGUCGCUGUCUAUCGUUUCGGCGAUGACGGUGAUGCUCAGCUCUGCUUGCCGGUGACUGUUGCGGUGUUCUUCACUGAGCGCUGUAGCAGCACGGCACGUUUACUUUGAAAAAAUUAGAGUGCUCAAAGCGUGCUUGUCGCUUGAAUAAUGUUGCAUGGAAUAAUGGAAUAGGACCUCGGUUCUAUUUUGUUGGUUUUCGGAGCUUGAGGUAAUGAUUAAGAGGGACGAACGGGGGCAUUCGUAUUGCGGUGUUAGAGGUGAAAUUCUUGGAUCGCCGCAAGACGGACUACUGCGAAAGCAUUUGCCAAGAACGCUUUCAUUAAUUAAGAACGAAAGUCAGAGGUUCGAAGACGAUCAGACACCGUCCUAGUUCUGACCAUAAACGAUGCCGACCAGCGAUCCGUAGUGGUUGCUUUAUGGACCCUACGGGCAGCCUCCGGGAAACCAAAGUAUUUGGGUUCCGGGGGAAGUAUGGUUGCAAAGCUGAAACUUAAAGGAAUUGACGGAAGGGCACACCAGGAGUGGAGCCCGCGGCUUAAUUUGACCCAACACGGGAAAACUCACCCGGUCCGGACACCGUAAGGAUUGACAGACUGAUAGCUCUUUCUUGAUUCGGUGGAUGGUGGUGCAUGGCCGUUCUUAGUUGGUGGAGUGAUUUGUCUGGUUAAUUCCGAUAACGAACGAGACUCUAGCCUGCUAAGUAGUGUUGCUAUUGUUAUAUGGUUGACACUUCUUAGAGGGACAAGUGGCAUUUAGCCACGCGAAAUUGAGCAAUAACAGGUCUGUGAUGCCCUUAGAUGUCCGGGGCCGCACGCGCGCUACACUGGAGAAGUCAGCGUGUGUUAUCCAAGUCCGAAAGGACUGGGUAAUCCGUUGAACCUUCUUCGUGCUUGGGACUGUGGCUUGGAACUAUUCCACAUGAACGAGGAAUUCCUAGUAAUUGCAAGUCAUAAGCUUGCGUUGAUUACGUCCCUGCCCUUUGUACACACCGCCCGUCGCUACUACCGAUUGAAUGGUUUAGCAAGGUCCUCGGAUCGUGGCCGUAGGGGCACGCAAGUGUUUCUGCGGUUUGCGAGAAGACGACCAAACUUGAUCAUUUAGA